GUUUUGUGGUCAUGGCUGCUCGUAGAGGAAUCUGUUCUUUACUCUCUCGUUCUCUCUUAUCUUCUUCCUCUGCUUCUUCUUCUUCUUCUGCUUAUGGGUUUAGUUCUUUUCUUCAAUCUCAUGGAAGAGUUUCAAGGUUCCAAAGAAGAGGGAAUAGAUUUAGCACAUCUGCUUUGGCAGAGGAGGAACUCAUCACUCCUCCUGUUCAGAUCAAUUACACUCAAAAUCUGAUUAAUGGGCAGUUUGUAGAUGCUGCAUCAGGAAAAACGUUUCCGACUUACGAUCCUCGCACUGGGGAAGUGAUUGCUCAUGUUGCCGAGGCCGAUGCCGAGGAUAUUAACCGUGCGGUAUCAGCAGCUCGAAAGGCAUUUGACAAGGGGCCAUGGCCGAGAAUGACUGCUUAUGAACGAUCAAGGAUAUUACUGCGGUGUGCAGAUUUGAUUGAGAAACAUAUGUCUGAACUUGCAGCAUUGGAAACAUGGAACAAUGGGAAACCUUACGAACAAUCAGUUAAAUCCGAAUUACCGUUACUCGUGCGCUUGUUUCACUAUUACGCUGGCUGGGCAGACAAAAUCCAUGGCUUAACAGUUCCAGCUGAUGGAAAUCAUCAUGUGCAAGUAUUACAUGAACCAAUUGGAGUAGCAGGACAGAUAAUUCCAUGGAACUUU
rnacentral:misc_RNA from 1 species